rnacentral:rRNA from 1 species
GAUGAACGCUAGCGGCAGGCUUAACACAUGCAAGUCGAGGGGUAUAUUUCUUCGGAGAUAGAGACCGGCGCACGGGUGCGUAACGCGUAUGCAAUCUGCCUUUCACAGAGGGAUAGCCCAGAGAAAUUUGGAUUAAUACCUCAUAGUAUAAUCAAACCGCAUGGUUUAAUUAUUAAAGUCACAACGGUGAAAGAUGAGCA